rnacentral:rRNA from 1 species
CAGUAGCCGCGGUAAUACAGAGGGUGCGAGCGUUAAUCGGAUUUACUGGGCGUAAAGCGUGCGUAGGCGGCUUCUUAAGUCGGAUGUGAAAUCCCUGAGCUUAACUUAGGAAUUGCAUUCGAUACUGGGAAGCUAGAGUAUUGGAGAGGAUGGUAGAAUUCCAGGUGUAGCGGUGAAAUGCGUAGAGAUCUGGAGGAAUACCGAUGGCGAAGGCAGCCAUCUGGCCUAAUACUGACGCUGAGGUACGAAAGCAUGGGGAGCAAACAGGAUUAGAUACCCCAGUAGUCCCUGUCUCUAUACA